CGGCCACAUAAUGUUAAAACACUGGUUCCCAUAUGAUCACUAAAGUUAAGCAAUGUCAAGCCAGGUCAGUAUCUAGAUGGGUGACCACUUGAGUAUACCAGCUGCUGGAA